GUAUAAGCGGGAGGGCCAGAGGGAGAGAGAAUCUGAAGCAGACUCUGUGCUGAGUGUGGAGCUGAGGCCGAGCUCGAUCCCAGGACCCUGAGAUCAUCACCUGGGCUGAAGUCAGAUGCUGCAUGGACUGAGCCUUCCAGGGUCCCCGACAUCGACACAAGGAAACUGAUGCUUUGGGACCAGAGACACUUGUUUGAGGACACACAGAUGCUUGGUGCAUCUGUCACCACCGAGGGCCGGCUGAGAAGAAGCUCCCUCUGUGUUCCCCCGUCCCUCUCUGUAAGGCCGGUAGAUCCUAGCCCAUGGGGAGCCCCAUCGCGUGACUGUAAGCCUGGGCCCGCAGAUCUGGGAAGAGCUCAGAAAUUACCCACGCUGGAUUUCUCUGGAAGGACCCUUGGCUCCUGGGCGACAAGUCCGGCUCUCUCGAGGCCAGCAUCCCGAGAAGAAGCCAAGACCACCUAACGAAGCUUGCCCGAGGCUCUGGUCUCAGCCCCAGCUGAAGCCACCAAGCUGGCUUGUGCAGAUGCCUUUUGAUGUUUCCAGCUCCCCGAUGGUGUGACAUUCCACUGAGACUUCCCAGCGGAGGCCCAGGCAUCGUGGAUCCGGCCCAAGCCACCCUAGCUGGGCUCCGUCCCAAUUCCCGACUCACAGAAUUACGGAGCAUAAUAAA